GGGCAAAUGACUGAGUGGUUUAAGGUUCCAGUUUUGAAAUCUGGUGUACAUAAGUACCGUAGGUUCAAAUCCUACUUUGUCCG
rnacentral:tRNA from 1 species